rnacentral:lncRNA from 1 species
CCGGCUGGUACGUUUCCUCGAACCAUGGCCCGUUCCGACGAUCCUAUCUAUGAUCGGGGGAUGUUACAGCUACCUCGGAAGCUGUAGUGAGCAAAGACUUUCUUGGAGUCGCAUGUGCUUGGUGAGUGGAGAACAAGUGCGAGUUUGGUUCCAAAUUGUCUAUAAGUGUGUUAGAAGAGUUAUGCUCCAAAUGAACUAUAUCCAGCAUUGGAAUCUCCGUUGGUGGCCUGAGGUUCUUUAAUUAUUAAUAGGAGCAUAAGCAUGAGGCUUAGGAGGUAGUAGACACGUCUUCUCCUUAUGGCCAAG